GAAUGAACGCUGGCGGCGCGCCUAAUACAUGCAAGUCGAGCGAGAAGACGUAGCAAUACGUUUGUAAAGCGGCGAACGGGUGAGGAAUACAUGGGUAACCUACCCUCGAGUGGGGAAUAACCAGCCGAAAGGUUAGCUAAUACCGCGUACGCUUCUUGGACUUCGGUUCAGGGAGGAAAGCGAUGCCGAGGGUAUCGCGCUCUUGGAUGGGCUCAUGUCCUAUCAGCUUGUGAUGAGGUAACGGCUCACCAAGGCUUCGACGGGUAGCUGGUCUGAGAGGACGAUCAGCCACACUGGCACUGCGACACGGGCCAGACUCCUACGGGAGGCAGCAGUAAGGAAUAUUGCGCAAUGGGCGAAAGCCUGACGCAGCGACGCCGC
rnacentral:rRNA from 1 species